CUGGUCCCCAGGCUGAGUCACACGGGACGCUCUGCCUCCCUCUGGGCCUCCCGCCUGUCCUCCUGUCUGAAAAGGUGCAGCUCAACCCUUGAGCCCCGUGCUCAGGAGCACCCCAAGCCAGCGCUGCGGUGGCCGCGGGAAGCAAGUGCGAUUGACGCGAGGACGUGGCGCCAUCUGGUGUCUGAGUUGGGGAUCGCAGGAGCGAGGUUUCCUUUCAAUUCCCGCUUUGGAGAGAAGGCGGCCGGCCAUGCCCCUGAACGCAUUAGGAAAAAGCCGUUUAAAAGCCCUCUGUGUAUGUAAACGCUCCUGUCAUAUG
rnacentral:lncRNA from 1 species